CGCACCGCUUCCCGCUGUGCUCGGCGCCCCCCGGGCCGGAGCGAGGCUGCGCGGCGGCCAUUGGCUGCGGGCGGCUCCUCCCCGCGCCUCGGGCAGCUCGGGGCCGUGCGGGGACGGCCGGGCGGGGACGGCGAGCCCCGGGCCCCGCGCCUCCCGUGUGCGGGCCGUGCGAUCGCCGCUAACGGCCGGCCCCGCUCGGUGCGUUGCAGCCGGGAGCGCCUGGCACCGCGCUGACCGUCCGCCCGUGGAGCCGGCAGCGGAGGACGAGCGGCGGCACGACGAGGACCGGGACGACGACGACGACGACGAGCGGAGCCUGUGGACGGCCCUCAAGAAGCUGCGGCUGGACGCGGCGCGGCGGCACGAGGACGAGGAGGAGCAGCAGCAGCAGCAGCAGGACGACGACGACGACGAGGACGAGGAGGAGCGCAGCCUGCGGACGGCCCUCCAGGAGCUGCGGGUGGACACGGCGCGAUGCAUCGCGGCUCAGCCUGCGGGCGACGGGACGGUUCUUGCAGCGCCGGGGAGAAGAGCUGCAGAUGGAGCCCAGCAACCGUCCGUCUGCCGCCGGGAAGCACGGCAUGGGUGUGAGAGGACUGCAGGAGGACCGGCCAGUCUCUCACAACACGGACGUUCCAGAUCCAUCUGUGAAACAGCCCUGUGCAGCCCUCCCGCAUCCCGUACUGUGGAGGCUCACAUGUAUGUCAGUGAUGUGACUGUGGAAGACCUGGCAGGGUACCUGGAACACCAUCUGCAUAUACCAAAGAAAAUGUCUGCCAUGGCAGAAAUGAUGUACUCAUAACCAAACAUCAAAAACAGUCACAAUUCUAAGCACUAUCAGAAAUUUAAAUGGCUCGUUUGUGCCAUAUUUGUAAUGUUCUGUGUUUAAUCAAAUGUUUUAUUACAUGGUACAGUUUAGUUUUGUAAUUAAGAGAAAAACUGUACAUAGUUGCAUAGACUCCUGUGGCUGAAAUGAUGUAUACUUAACUGAAAGCCAUAUUCAGUCACAUAGUAAUACAGUUUAUUUUUGUAACUCAAAUAAAAACUGUAUAUAGUCUCACAGACUGACAGAAUGGUUUGUUUCGGAAGGGGCCUCUAAGAUCACCUCGUUCCAACCCCCUGCUGCAGGUAGGGACACCUCCCUCGAGACCAGGCUGCUCACAGCCCCAUCCAGCCUGGCCUUGAAGGCCUCCAGGGAGGGGGCAUUCACAACCUCACUGGGCAACCUGUCCCAGUGCUUCACAGUAAGGAAUCUCUUCCCAGUGUCUGGUCUAAACCUACACUCUCC
rnacentral:lncRNA from 1 species